GGCGGCAGGCCUAACACAUGCAAGUCGGGCGGUAACAGGGAGUGCUUGCACUUCGCUGACGAGCGGCGGACGGGUGAGUAAUGCAUAGGAAUCUGCCUGGUAGCCGGGGGAUAGCCCAGAGAAAUUUGGAUUAAUACCGCAUACGCCCUACGGGGAAAGCUGGGGGGGACCUUCGGGGGCCUAGCGCUAUCAGAUGAGCCUAUGUCGGAUUAGCUUGUUGGUGAGGUAACGGCUCACCAAGGCGACGAUCCGUAGCUGGUCUGAGAGGAUGAUCAGCCACACUGGGACUGAGACACGGCCCAGACUCCUACGGGAGGCAGCAGUGGGGAAUAUUGGACAAUGGGCGCAAGCCUGAUCCAGCCAUGCCGCGUGUGUGAAGAAGGCCUUCGGGUCGUAAAGCACUUUCAGCGAGGAGGAAAGGAUGGUUGCUAAUAUCAGCCGUCUGUGACGUUACUCGCAGAAGAAGCACCGGCUAACUCCGUG
rnacentral:rRNA from 1 species